rnacentral:rRNA from 1 species
CUCAUGCCCUUAUGUUCUGGGCUACACACGUGCUACAAUGGCCGGUACAGACGGACGCAAAGCCGCGAGGUGGAGCAAAUCCUAAAAAGCCGGUCUCAGUUCGGAUUGCAGGCUGCAAUUCGCCUGCAUGAAGUCGGAAUCGCUAGUAAUCGCAGGUCAGCAUACUGCGGUCGAAUACGUUCCCGGGCCUU